CACGCAGGCGGCUUGUUAAGUCAGAUGUGAAAGCCCCGGGCUCAACCUGGGAACUGCAUUUGAAACUGACAAGCUAGAGUCUUGUAGAGGGGGUAGAAUUCCAGGUGUAGCGGUGAAAUGCGUAGAGAUCUGGAGGAAUACCGGUGGCGAAGGCGGCCCCCUGGACAGAGACUGACGCUCAGGUGCGAAAGCGUGGGGAGCAAACA
rnacentral:rRNA from 1 species